rnacentral:lncRNA from 1 species
UAAAAAUUGGAGUUCUACUGUUGUCAUGUCGUCACGGUGCUACCGAUGGAGGAAUCCAAGAAAGAAGAAAAUGAUGUGCUAAAAGAAAGGAAUAAAAGGAGGUAUUGUUGUUUAUUUAAUUAAUUCUCUCCCUUGUACUUGUAGAAUCAUAAAUUUGUAAAGUCACAUAUCAUAUUUUUAACCUAUAAUCUGAUAAUUUGGCUCUUCUUUUGCAGUACGAUGUUAUCAGACGGAUGAUUUAUCGACAUUUUAAUUGGAAACUCCGAGUUACAUAUCACUGGUAAUUUCUUGUUUUAUUACUUAUUGGAGAUUUUAGAUUAUGAAUUUUGUUAUGAUUUAUUGUAUAAAUUAAAAUCAAACAAUUGAGUUUAAGCAUUUAACUAGAGAUAUAUAUGGAGUUCAUGGGUCAGAAUUUUAGAUUUAUUAAAAUUAAACUUAAUAAUAUGGUGGCAACUGACUGACUGGCUACUUGCAAUUUAGUUGACCACUAUCAGAUAAGUUGAUGAAAUAAAGAAUUCAUCACUCUUUAUAACUAAAUAUUUUGUGUUUCUUCAUAUGCUUCUCUUACGAAAUAUUAUAUGGCCUACGCAGAAGAGGAGUUAGGUCAACACUGAAGAACUCUACAUUUCAGACUGGCAAUGAAAAUCAUUACACUGGGUUGGAGAAGAGCCAAAAAAUUCUCUUAUAUAUAGUUCUGGUGAUUGAUUCUUGAGUGCUUAUUCACUUGGGAAUUUGUACAAUGUAAGAAUCUCUCUGUUUGUGACAAGGUUGUGCUGUUUUUGUGGUGUCAUGUCUACAUCUAAUACAUCAGAAAAAUUGGAUGUUGUAAACUUGUAAUUCCCUCUGUCCCAAAAUAAUUAGUUAUUUAGAAUUUUCAUAUUAAACAAAC